GACGAACGCUGGCGGCGUGCCUAAUACAUGCAAGUCGAACGCAGUGGGGACGGGUGAGUAACACGUGGGUAACCUCCCAUCAGAGGGGAUAACACUUGGAAACAGGUGCUAAACCGAUACUGAUGGAUGGACCCGCGGUGCAUUAGCUAGUUGGUGAGGUAACGGCUCACCAAGGCCACGAAGCAUAGUGGAGCUGAGAGGGAGAAUGGCCACACUAGGACUGAGACACGGCCCAGACUCCUACGGGAGGCAGCAGUAGGGAAUGUUCGGCAAUGGACGAAAGUCUGACCGAUCAACGACGCGUGAGUGAAGAAGGUUUUCGGAGAGUAGAACUCUGUUGUUAGGGAAGCGGUAUCUAACCAGAAAGCAACGGCUAACUACGUGCCAGCAGCAGCGGUAAUUC
rnacentral:rRNA from 1 species